UGUUAGGUUUCGACACCAUUACACGCCAUCUCGACAUCCUCACAACCUCAUAAUACUCUUUCGCAUAACCGUUGCACUUCACCGGAGAAACUCGAACGCCGCCGGAACAACACCACUAACGCUACCAAAGUUCGAUAUCUCACCGGAAAAACUCGAAGAGCCGAACGGAGAUAGACGACAUCUUCUCGACACGUUUCGUACGCACACCUUUCGGAACCUGCCUACCCCCUUGUCGGAGAUCGGAGGCGACGUCGGAGGCAACCGAAGCCACAGCAGGAAGCACACGUUACGUUCGGAUAAACCGUCCGUUCGUUCUCUUGGAUUUCUCCAAUCCUUACUCGUGCGUUAGUUCAAGCGAUUCUUAUAUGCAACCAAUGU